UACAGAGGGUGCGAGCGUUGUUCGGAAUUAUUGGGCGUAAAGGGCGCGUAGGCGGUGCGGUAAGUCACCUGUGAAAUCUCCUGGCUCAACUGGGAGCUUGCAGGCGAAACUGCCGUGCUGGAGUGUGGGAGAGGUGCGUGGAAUUCCUGGUGUAGCGGUGAAAUGCGUAGAUAUCAGGAGGAACACCUGUGGCGAAAGCGGCGCACUGGACCACAACUGACGCUGAGGCGCGAAAGCUAGGGGGAGCAAGCAGG
rnacentral:rRNA from 1 species